AGCGAACGCUGGCGGCAGGCCUAACACAUGCAAGUCGAACGAAGCCUUCGGGCUUAGUGGCGGACGGGUGAGUAACACGUGGGAACGUACCUUUUGGUUCGGAAUAACGCAGAGAAAUUUUCGCUAAUACCGGAUGAGCCCUUCGGGGGAAAGGUUUAUCGCCGAAAGAUCGGCCCGCGUUGGAUUAGGUAGUUGGUGUGGUAAAGGCGCACCAAGCCUACGAUCCAUAGCUGGUCUGAGAGGAUGAUCAGCCACACUGGGACUGAGACACGGCCCAGACUCCUACGGGAGGCAGCAGUGGGGAAUCUUGCGCAAUGGGCGAAAGCCUGACGCAGCCAUGCCGCGUGAAUGAUGAAGGUCUUAGGAUUGUAAAAUUCUUUUACCGGGGACGAUAAUGACGGUACCUGGAGAAAAAGCCCCGGCUAACUUCGUGCCAGCAGCCGCCGUAAUAC
rnacentral:rRNA from 1 species